UAGCGCGUGACUUGGAUGUGGAUCGCCUUACAACACGUCUGGUUAAAAAGCGCGUUGUUUCAGUCGCAUUCUGAGCGACCGUUUGGCUGAAGGCCGCUGGCACUGCUAAUCGCUCUUGCGAAUCGUAUAUAGUUUACAAUGAAUGCUGUUGUGGCAAUUUUUCUUGUUCAUUAUUACGUUAUUCACGUGCUCGCGAUUCCCUUGAAUGAAACAGUUGGCGAGCCAGUGGCGCACCUGACGGAAGUCUGCGCACAGUGCAAGUGCUCCUCUCACGACGUGGUCUCGUGCCGGGUGAACCCCACGACCGGCUGUUACUGCGUGAGGGGGAUGUACCGACUCGGCGAAGAUGGAAAGUGCAUGGAGCGUGCGCUGUGCGAGCGUCGUUUCUGAUCACAAUACAAAACUACACUCCUUC